GGGGAUAGAGCUCAGUGGUGGAGUGCGUGCUUAGCAUGCACUAGAGGUCCUGGGUUCAAUCCCCAGUACCUCCA
rnacentral:tRNA from 1 species